CCUGCUGUCGAGAGAACACAGGACACGGGUGAGCCAUGCAAGCGCGGGUGGUGGCACCUCGUCUGAGGGAGACAUGGGACAGCACGUUCCCUUAGCUCCAUCCAAGAAGCUGUGACCUCUGACACUGCCCGAGGCUCCCUGGGAGUCCAGAGUCCCCAUUUCUGACCCAGAGGAGACAGGAAAUGGUAAACGGUGAGUGGAAAUGUGUUGGGUGAGCCCAGACCAACGGGGAUGUUAAAGAUACUGAAAUGAGAAGCGGCUGGCAUCUCUUCCUCCCUGGACCUCCAGGGGCGAGGGAAGGGAGGACAGAGCUGGGGGUCUGAAGCACUGACGGUGGGGCCCAGUCCUUGCUCUGCUCCUGCAGAGGGUGACCUUGGAAAUGUGCCCACUCUAAGCCUCAGUGUCACAACUACACAGUGGGUGCCAUGGUGCACUUUCUGCAGGGUGGUGGGGGUUACUGUGCGGGAGUCCCUGGCCCAGAGCAGAUGCUCUGUUCAGCAGACAUUUUGACCAGGCCUUUGUCUCAAGAGCCACAUCCAGUACAUUCGCGGACAUCCUAUGAAGGCUCAGAUGGAGGUGACAGAAGGAAGGAGCCGGCACCUGAGAUCAAGGCCCGGUGCGCAGGAGUCCUGCUGCUCCAGUCCCAGGCCUCGCCAGCAGGGCCCCACCACCUCCGUCCCAUGGGUGCUGGAAAACUGGUCUGGAAUCAAACCUGCAGUAUCUCUGAGGUCUGCCUGUAACAGGAACCUAAUAACUAAGUGUGUUCACCAAACCUGCAGCCUAAUGUGAAGGGAGGAGACUAAGACGGUGGGGACAGAGGGAUGUGGAGCUCACCCCCCCCCGAAACACAUCAAAAAUACAACCACAGCUGGAACAAGUCUCACAGAAGAUACACAACGAAAGCUGCAAGACCCCCAUGUAACCGGGUAGGACUAAAGGAAAAGGGGGGGUGGCACCUGUGCCCCGGAGGGAGCCCCUUCACCAGCGGGGAGACCAGCCUGGACAGAGAGGGGGCAUCAGGGGCUGGGAGGAGAGCCCAGCAGCCGCUCUGAGACGGGGGGACAGAGAAACUCCAAGUGGCUUAAAAACUUAUGACACCAUAAAACUCCUAGAAGAGAACACAUGCACAAUGUUCUCUGACAUAAAUCACAGUAAUAUUUUUGUAGUUCAGUCUCCCAAGGCAAUAGAAAUAAAGGCAAAAAGAAACAAAUGGGAC